UACGGAGGAUCCGAGCGUUAUCCGGAUUUAUUGGGUUUAAAGGGUGCGCAGGCGGGAGAUUAAGUCGGCGGUGAAAUUUUGCAGCUCAACUGUAAAAGUGCCUUCGAAACUGGUUUCCUUGAGUGUAGAUGAAGUAGGCGGAAUUAGUGGUGUAGCGGUGAAAUGCAUAGAUAUCACGAGGAACUCCGAUUGCGCAGGCAGCUUACUAAACUACUACUGGCGCUCAGGCACGAAGGCGUGGGGAUCAAACAGGAUUAGAUACCCUGGUA
rnacentral:rRNA from 1 species